UACGGGGGGUGCGAGCGUUGUCCGGAAUUAUUGGGCGUAAAGGGCUCGUAGGCGGUUUGUCGCGUCGGGAGUGAAAACACUGGGCUUAACCGAGUGCUUGCUUUCGAUACGGGCAGACUUGAGGCAUUGAGGGGAGAACGGAAUUCCUGGUGUAGCGGUGAAAUGCGCAGAUAUCAGGAGGAACACCGGUGGCGAAGGCGGUUCUCUGGCAAUGUUCUGACGCUGAGGAGCGAAAGUGUGGGGAGCGAACAGG
rnacentral:rRNA from 1 species